AUUGAACGCUGGCGGCAUGCCUUACACAUGCAAGUCGAACGGCAGCGGGGGAGAAGCUUGCUUUUCCUGCCGGCGAGUGGCGAACGGGUGAGUAAUACAUCGGAACGUGCCCUGUAGUGGGGGAUAACUAGUCGAAAGAUUAGCUAAUACCGCAUACAACCUGAGGGUGAAAGUGGGGGACCGAAAGGCCUCAUGCUAUAGUAGCGGCCGAUGUCUGAUUAGCUAGUUGGUGGGGUAAAGGCCUACCAAGGCGACGAUCAGUAGCUGUUCUGAGAGGACGAUCAGCCACACUGGGACUGAGACACGGCCCAGACUCCUACGGGAGGCAGCAGUGGGGAAUUUUGGACAAUGGGCGAAAGCCUGAUCCAGCAAUGCCGCGUGUGUGAAGAAGGCCUUCGGGUUGUAAAGCACUUUUGUCCGGAAAGAAAUGGCUCUGGUUAAUACCUGGGGUCGAUGACGGUACCGGAAGAAUAAGGACCGGCUAACUACGUGCCAGCCGCCGCAGUAA
rnacentral:rRNA from 1 species